rnacentral:rRNA from 1 species
CGCCUAACACAUGCAAGUCGAGCGGUAGCAUGGUAAGUAGCAAUACUUAUUGAUGACGAGCGGGGGACGGGUGAGUAAGACGUAGGAACUUGCCUUUUAGAGGGGGACAACCAAGGGAAACUUUGGCUAAUACCGCGUAAACUCGGAAGAGGAAAGCUGCCCGGAAGGGUGGCGCUAAAAGAGAGGCCUGCGUCCGAUUAGCUAGUUGGUGAGGUAAAGGCUCACCAAGGCGAUGAUCGGUAACUGGUCUGAGAGGACGACCAGUCACACUGGGACUGAGACACGGCCCAGACUCCUACGGGAGGCAGCAGUGGGGAAUAUUGGACAAUGGGGGCAACCCUGAUCCAGCGAUGCCGCGUGAGUGAAGAAGGCCUUCGGGUUGUAAAGCUC